rfam:Hoeflea olei strain JC234 contig_18, whole genome shotgun sequence.
GAUUGCAGCCGUGGUGAUUUGGCCGGCCGGCUUGCAGCCACGUUAAAAAACUCGCUAAAGGGCCGACGGGACAGUUUC